UUAAGCGACUAAGCGUACACGGUGGAUGCCCUGGCAGUCAGAGGCGAUGAAGGACGUGCUAAUCUGCGAAAAGCGUCGGUAAGGUGAUAUGAACCGUUAUAGCCGGCGAUGUCCGAAUGGGGAAACCCAGUGUGAUUCGUCACACUAUCGUUAACUGAAUACAUAGGUUAACGAGGCGAACCGGGGGAACUGAAACAUCUAAGUACCCCGAGGAAAAGAAAUCAACCGAGAUUCCCCCAGUAGCGGCGAGCGAACGGGGAGCAGCCCAGAGUCUGAAUCAGCUUGUGUGUUAGUGGAACGGUCUGGAAAGUCCGACGGUACAGGGUGAUAGUCCCGUACACCAAAAUGCACAGGUUGUGAACUCGAAGAGUAGGGCGGGACACGUGGUAUCCUGUCUGAAUAUGGGGGGACCAUCCUCCAAGGCUAAAUACUCCUGACUGACCGAUAGUGAACCAGUACCGUGAGGGAAAGGCGAAAAGAACCCCGGCGAGGGGAGUGAAAAAGAACCUGAAACCGUGUACGUACAAGCAGUGGGAGCACCUUCGGGUGUGACUGCGUACCUUUUGUAUAAUGGGUCAGCGACUUAUAUUCUGUAGCAAGGUUAACCGUAUAGGGGAGCCGCAGGGAAACCGAGUCUUAACUGGGCGUUAAGUUGCAGGGUAUAGACCCGAAACCCGGUGAUCUAGCCAUGGGCAGGUUGAAGGUUGGGUAACACUAACUGGAGGACCGAACCGACUAAUGUUGAAAAAUUAGCGGAUGACUUGUGGCUGGGGGUGAAAGGCCAAUCAAACCGGGAGAUAGCUGGUUCUCCCCGAAAGCUAUUUAGGUAGCGCCUCGUGAACUCAUCUUCGGGGGUAGAGCACUGUUUCGGCUAGGGGGUCAUCCCGACUUACCAACCCGAUGCAAACUACGAAUACCGAAGAAUGUUAUCACGGGAGACACACGGCGGGUGCUAACGUCCGUCGUGAAGAGGGAAACAACCCAGACCGCCAGCUAAGGUCCCAAAGUCAUGGUUAAGUGGGAAACGAUGUGGGAAGGCACAGACAGCCAGGAUGUUGGCUUAGAAGCAGCCAUCAUUUAAAGAAAGCGUAAUAGCUCACUGGUCGAGUCGGCCUGCGCGGAAGAUGUAACGGGGCUAAACCAUGCACCGAAGCUGCGGCAGCGACACUUAUGUGUUGUUGGGUAGGGGAGCGUUCUGUAAGCCUGCGAAGGUGGCCUGUGAGGGCUGCUGGAGGUAUCAGAAGUGCGAAUGCUGACAUAAGUAACGAUAAAGCGGGUGAAAAGCCCGCUCGCCGGAAGACCAAGGGUUCCUGUCCAACGUUAAUCGGGGCAGGGUGAGUCGACCCCUAAGGCGAGGCCGAAAGGCGUAGUCGAUGGGAAACAGGUUAAUAUUCCUGUACUUGGUGUUACUGCGAAGGGGGGACGGAGAAGGCUAUGUUAGCCGGGCGACGGUUGUCCCGGUUUAAGCAUGUAGGCGGAGGUUCCAGGUAAAUCCGGUACCUUUUAACGCUGAGGUGUGAUGACGAGGCACUACGGUGCUGAAGUAACAAAUGCCCUGCUUCCAGGAAAAGCCUCUAAGCAUCAGGUAACAUUAAAUCGUACCCCAAACCGACACAGGUGGUCAGGUAGAGAAUACCAAGGCGCUUGAGAGAACUCGGGUGAAGGAACUAGGCAAAAUGGUGCCGUAACUUCGGGAGAAGGCACGCUGGUGUGUAGGUGAAGUCCCUGCGGAUGGAGCUGAGACCAGUCGAAGAUACCAGCUGGCUGCAACUGUUUAUUAAAAACACAGCACUGUGCAAACACGAAAGUGGACGUAUACGGUGUGACGCCUGCCCGGUGCCGGAAGGUUAAUUGAUGGGGUUAUCCGUAAGGAGAAGCUCUUGAUCGAAGCCCCGGUAAACGGCGGCCGUAACUAUAACGGUCCUAAGGUAGCGAAAUUCCUUGUCGGGUAAGUUCCGACCUGCACGAAUGGCGUAAUGAUGGCCAGGCUGUCUCCACCCGAGACUCAGUGAAAUUGAACUCGCUGUGAAGAUGCAGUGUACCCGCGGCAAGACGGAAAGACCCCGUGAACCUUUACUAUAGCUUGACACUGAACAUUGAGCCUUGAUGUGUAGGAUAGGUGGGAGGCUUUGAAGCGUGGACGCCAGUCUGCGUGGAGCCAACCUUGAAAUACCACCCUUUAAUGUUUGAUGUUCUAACGUUGGCCCCUAAUCGGGGUUGCGGACAGUGUCUGGUGGGUAGUUUGACUGGGGCGGUCUCCUCCCAAAGAGUAACGGAGGAGCACGAAGGUUAGCUAAUCCUGGUCGGACAUCAGGAGGUUAGUGCAAUGGCAUAAGCUAGCUUGACUGCGAGCGUGACGGCGCGAGCAGGUGCGAAAGCAGGUCAUAGUGAUCCGGUGGUUCUGAAUGGAAGGGCCAUCGCUCAACGGAUAAAAGGUACUCCGGGGAUAACAGGCUGAUACCGCCCAAGAGUUCAUAUCGACGGCGGUGUUUGGCACCUCGAUGUCGGCUCAUCACAUCCUGGGGCUGAAGUAGGUCCCAAGGGUAUGGCUGUUCGCCAUUUAAAGUGGUACGCGAGCUGGGUUUAGAACGUCGUGAGACAGUUCGGUCCCUAUCUGCCGUGGGCGCUGGAGAAUUGAGGGGGGCUGCUCCUAGUACGAGAGGACCGGAGUGGACGCAUCACUGGUGUUCGGGUUGUCAUGCCAAUGGCACUGCCCGGUAGCUAAAUGCGGAAGAGAUAAGUGCUGAAAGCAUCUAAGCACGAAACUUGCCCCGAGAUGAGUUCUCCCUGAGACUUUAAGUCUCCUGAAGGAACGUUGAAGACGACGACGUUGAUAGGCCGGGUGUGUAAGCGCAGCGAUGCGUUGAGCUAACCGGUACUAAUGAACCGUGAGGCUUAACCU
rnacentral:rRNA from 1 species